AGAAUCUAAAUACUUUUCAAUUGGACAACAACAACGAGAACAACUAUGAGGCCAAACUAUGCACUUAAUUUUCCAGAGAAACUGAACACAGCUGAGGCCACCUUUUUCAGCAGGUUUAGAUGCUUAGGCUACUGAUCGCGCAUAGACAGUUCAGCCUAUCAGCUGCAGUAGUCGUGAAGCGUACAAGUGAUGAGAAGGAAAGAUGGUUAUUUGAGCUGAAAAAGAUCAAAAAGGAGAAAAAGGAGAAGAGAAGUGCAACUGGAAGACUUGAAAUAGAAAAUCUGCCUCAGUUACCGCGAUCGUGGUCUGAGGUAUGCUAUCGUGUCCGGUUUAGCUAGUUCAAAGGGAUGAGACUUCGGACAAGCUUUAGCGAUCGCGGCAAUGCAGGAAUGUACGUAGGGCCAAUUUUGUUAUUUUUCAUUGCCGGGCAUUAAAGGGCUCACACCCUUUCUCAUUAUAGAUUGUAGACUUUGGAGAACAAUUGAAUUUGAGUUUACAAACCCAAAAUUGGGCAACAAGUGUAAUUUGAAUUUCUUUCUUUGAAUUUGGUGAAAAUAAAGGAUGGAUGUUUUGAAUGAAAUUUUGGUAUAUUUCUUCCUCUUUACUUCACGAGUAGCUAAAUUUAUUUGUCUUAGGAUUAUGUUGAACUAAGGUAAAAUUGUGUGUAGGUUGUGAUGUAUUUGUGUAGAGUUUAGUUUGUUGAUGAUGGGUUUCACUAAUGCUUGGUUUAGUCAGUUGGGAUUUGUGGGUGAAAACCUUAAAUGCCCAAAAUGGGUUUGUGGGUGAAAACCCUAAACUCUUGAAAGCUCACAUCAUCCUUCAAAAAGAGAUGUGGGUGAAAAUUUGAAACCCAUGGCAUCUUUAAAAGAGGGAUAUGGGGGACAAAGCAAUAGUGAAAAAUAGAAGAUGUAGUUUGCUAUCUUUUUGAUAUCUUAGAAAUAAGGGUGAAUAGGUUGUUGGCUAUGUCUUGGGCAUCUUCCUAGAAAUAAGGAUAGCUAAUUAAGGUAAUAAGUGGGUGAAAUUGACACACUUGGUAGUUACUCGAAAGAGUCAACAAGUGAUAUUCUUGAGCUUUUGUUGACAAACUAGCCACAAGAACUUUCGAGCUAGCCUACCGCAUUGUUAAUAACUAGGAUUUGCAUCAAAUUAUCAUAUUCCCAUGCAUAACUUUCCCAUAGGUGGACAUUAUGCCAAGAUCCUUCUCAUAUUGGAUCUAAAUUUCAAGUGUUGCCCUAAUUUGUUAUCUUUUCGAAAACAUUUAAAAUCCCCCAAAAUAUUUGUAACUUAGGUUUGAUUUGAAAAAACAACUUUUAUUUCCAACAUACUCGGUCACCAUUCACAUUGUUGCUAGUUGAUUCGACCCCAACUCUUGUUGCGUUUAUAAUGACAAUG